rnacentral:rRNA from 1 species
GACGAGGGGUCCAAGCGUUGCUCGGAAUUAUUGGGCGUAAAGCGGAUGUAGGUGGUUUUGUAAGUCAGAAGUGAAAUCCCUGGGCUUAACCCAGGACGUGCUUUUGAUACUGCUUAACUUGAGUGUGGGAGAGGAUAGUAGAAUUCCAGGUGUAGUGGUGAAAUACGUAGAUAUCUGGAGGAAUACCGGUGAGGAAGCUGGCUGUCUGGCCCAACACUGACACUGAGAUCCGAAAGCGUGGGGAUCAAACAGG